AAAAAUCGUAAUUUAAGUAUAAGUGUUUGCCGGUAGGGUAGGAAUAAGCCUCGGCUACCUCCGAACCAGCAGCCGCGGUAAUACGGAGGAUGCAAGCGUUAUCCGGAUUCAUUGGGUUUAAAGGGUGCGCAGGCGGGCUUGUAAGUCAGUGGUGAAAUCUUGCCGCUUAACGGUAAAAUUGCCAUUGAUACUGCGAGUCUUGAAUAUGGUUGAGGUAGGCGGAAUGUGUUGUGUAGCGGUGAAAUGCAUAGAUAUGACACAGAACGCCGAUUGCGAAGGCAGCUUACUAAGCCAUUAUUGACGCUGAGGCACGAAAGCGUGGGGAGCGAACAGGAUUAGAUACCCUGGUAGUCCACGCCGUAAACGAUGAUCACUCGCUGUUUGCGAUACACAGUAAGCGGCUGAGCGAAAGCAUUAAGUGAUCCACCUGGGGAGUACGAUCGCAAGGUUGAAACUCAAAGGAAUUGACGGGGGCCCGCACAAGCGGAGGAACAUGUGGUUUAAUUCGAUGAUACGCGAGGAACCUUACCUGGGCUUAAAUGUAGGUUGCAUAAGCUGGAAACAGUUUUUUCCUUCGGGACUACUUACAAGGUGCUGCAUGGUUGUCGUCAGCUCGUGCCGUGAGGUGUCGGGUUAAGUCCCAUAACGAGCGCAACCCUUAUCGUUAGUUGCCAUCGGGUAGAGCCGGGGACUCUAGCGAGACUGCCACCGUAAGGUGAGAGGAAGGUGGGGAUGACGUCAAAUCAGCACGGCCCUUAUGUCCAGGGCUACACACGUGUUACAAUGGCCGGUACAAAGGGCAGCUACCUGGUAACAGGAUGCUAAUCUCUAAAGCCGGUCCCAGUUCGGAUUGGAGUCUGCAACCCGACUUCAUGAAGUUGGAUUCGCUAGUAAUCGGAUAUCAGCCAUGAUCCGGUGAAUACGUUCCCGGGCCUUGUACACACCGCCCGUCAAACCAUGGAAGCUGGGGGUGCCUGAAGUCUGUGACCGCAAGGAGCGGCCUAGGGUAAAACUAGUGACUGGGGUUAAGUCGUAACAAGGUAGUAAAG
rnacentral:rRNA from 1 species